rnacentral:tRNA from 1 species
CCCCAGCUGGCUCAGUUGGUGGAGCCUGUGACUGGUGAUCUUAGGGUUGUGAGUUCAAGCCCCACGUUGGGUG